CAGUCGCCGCGGUAACACCAGCACCUCGAGUGGUCAGGAGGUUUAUUGGGCCUAAAGCAUCCGUAGCCGGUUGCAUAAGUUUUCGGUUAAAUCUAUGCGCUUAACGUAUAGGCCGCCGAAAAUACUGUGCAGCUAGGGAGUGGGAGAGGUACACGGUACUCGAUAGGAAGGGGUAAAAUCCUUUGAUCUAUUGAUGACCACCUGUGGCGAAGGCGGUGUACCAGAACACGUUCGACGGUGAGGGAUGAAAGCUGGGGGAGCAAACCGGAUUAGAUACCCCAGUAGUCCCUGUCUCUUAUAA
rnacentral:rRNA from 1 species